UGUAGGACACUCUAUACGGAGUUACAAAAGAAAGUUAUAAAUGAAGCGGUCUGGAAAGGCCCGCCAAAGACGGUAACAGCCCGGUAGUUGAAAUGGCUUUCCCUCCAGAGUGGAUCCUGAGUACGGCGGAACACGUGAAAUUCCGUCGGAAUCCGGGAGGACCAUCUCCCAAGGCUAAAUACUCCCUAGUGACCGAUAGUGAACCAGUACCGUGAGGGAAAGGUGAAAAGCACCCCGGAAGGGGAGUGAAACAGUUCCUGAAACCGUGUGCCUACAAGUAGUUAGAGCCCGUUAAUGGGUGAUAGCGUGCCUUUUGUAGAAUGAACCGGCGAGUUACGAUUUGUUGCAAGGUUAAGCGGAAAAAGCGGAGCCGUAGCGAAAGCGAGUCUGAAUAGGGCGCAUAAGUAACAGGUCGUAGACCCGAAACCAGGUGAUCUACCCAUGUCCAGGAUGAAGGUAAGGUAAUACUUACUGGAGGUCCGAACCCACGCACGUUGAAAAGUGCGGGGAUGAGGUGUGGGUAGCGGAGAAAUUCCAAUCGAACUUGGAGAUAGCUGGUUCUCUCCGAAAUAGCUUUAGGGCUAGCCUCGAGGUAAAGAGUCAUGGAGGUAGAGCACUGUUUGGACUAGGGGCCCUUCUCGGGUUACCGAAUUCAGAUAAACUCCGAAUGCCAUGUACUUAUACUCGGGAGUCAGACUGCGAGUGAUAAGAUCCGUAGUCGAAAGGGAAACAGCCCAGACCACCAGUUAAGGUCCCCAAAUAUAUGUUAAGUGGAAAAGGAUGUGGGGUUGCUUAGACAACCAGGAUGUUGGCUUAGAAGCAGCCACCAUUGAAAGAGUGCGUAAUAGCUCACUGGUCGAGUGACCCCGCGCCGAAAAUGUACCGGGGCUAAACAUAUUACCGAAACUGUGGAUGAACCUCAUUAGAGGUUCGUGGUAGGAGAGCGUUCUAAGGGCGGUGAAGUCAGACCGGAAGGACUGGUGGAGCGCUUAGAAGUGAGAAUGCCGGUAUGAGUAGCGAAAGAAGGGUGAGAAUCCCUUCCACCGAAUAUCUAAGGUUUCCUGAGGAAGGCUCGUCCGCUCAGGGUUAGUCGGGACCUAAGCCGAGGCCGAUAGGCGUAGGCGAUGGACAACAGGUAGAGAUUCCUGUACCAGUGCUAAUUGUUUAACCGAUGGGGUGACACAGAAGGAUAGGGAAUCGCACGAAUGGAAAUGUGCGUCCAAGCAGUGAGUGUGAG
rnacentral:rRNA from 1 species